AGUGAACGCUGGCGGUAGGCCUAACACAUGCAAGUCGAACGGCAGCACAGUAAGAGCUUGCUCUUACGGGUGGCGAGUGGCGGACGGGUGAGGAAUACAUCGGAAUCUACUUUUUCGUGGGGGAUAACGUAGGGAAACUUACGCUAAUACCGCAUACGACCUACGGGUGAAAGCAGGGGAUCUUCGGACCUUGCGCGAUUGAAUGAGCCGAUGUCGGAUUAGCUAGUUGGCGGGGUAAAGGCCCACCAAGGCGACGAUCCGUAGCUGGUCUGAGAGGAUGAUCAGCCACACUGGAACUGAGACACGGUCCAGACUCCUACGGGAGGCAGCAGUGGGGAAUAUUGGGCAAUGGGCGAAAGCCUGAUCCAGCAAUACCGCGUGGGUGAAGAAGGCCUUCGGGUUGUAAAGCCCUGUUGUUGGGAAAGAAAAGCAGCAGGUUAAUACCCCGCUGUUCUGACGGUACCCAAAGAAUAAGCACCGGCUAACUUCGUG
rnacentral:rRNA from 1 species